rnacentral:lncRNA from 1 species
CCAGAUUGAGGUUGAGAUCUCCAUGAUCAAUAAAACAACUGAACAUCCAUUACAGUACUGCGCCAUCACUUUAAAACUGUGAUUUCACGUUGUUGGUUGAUGCUAUAACUGAUGCCAAAGCCCAGCAGUGUGUGUGUGUGAUCUGUCAUUGAGAUUUCCUCAUGACUCUUAAGUCAGCGUUAGAUGAUAGAGAUAGAGUGCAGGUUAUUUUGCAGCAAAGGCAUUUCAUCAACUUCUGCCUCUCCGCGUCAGUUUUGGGAAAGAGUGGUUGACGUCAGAUUUCUCUCCCAGCGGGAAGAACUGAAGAGAGAGAGAAUGAGAUCCACUGUGCCAUUCAAUUACACAUGCACCAUUUGGCAGAAGAGACUAUACACAGAACGGAGACGAGUUAACUUAAUCAUUGUUCCCAUUUUGUCAUAAAUGUUGAAAUGCUGCAACAAUGCGUUACUGAUCAACCCCUGAGAACGCAACAGUCCAUUCAAAAGGUGUGAAGUACAUUCACUGUUUAACAUCGGUUAGUCAUUGACCUUGUGAUGUUCAGGUGUCAUAAAUCUACAGAACUGACAACAUGCAGGUGUGAAUGACUUACCUAUGUAAUGCAGAAAGUGUAUUGUAAACUCACAUAUAAUAUACUGCAUACUGUCUUGUACCUGUGCUGUCGCAUCAAAUGGAGACCAUGACGACCAGAAGGAGAGACACAGAUGAUCUUGGACAUGAUGAUGGCAGCCGUGGACACUGGACAAAGCAGAGAAAGAGAUAGGUCUGCACAGGCUGUCGGGGCUUUUUGUUUUCGUCUGCCACAGGCCUGCCUUCCCAACUGAUAUGUGAAGAUGAAGGGGCAAGAAAAGGCAGGAAAACAGGAUGUGAAACACAAAAACCCAUGAAGACCCAUCUAUGGCCAGCCUCAAUGCUACAAGAGCUGUUGUGGUGGUGGUGGUUGAGACUGAUUGGGGCUGUGUUUAUAUUAAUCUGGUAAAUAUUCAAUCCACUAGGAAUCUGUAACUAGGGCUACAAUAUGCAAGGUGGGUGAUCAUUGCCCAACCAUUAGUUGUUGCAUUUUUACCAAUGGUUUUCCAAUCUGUAACUAUUCAAAGAAAAGCCUCCAGAUGGAAAAUUAACAUUUCUUUCUCUGAUUAUAUCUGUUUACCUGGAAUUUAUCAGUCAUUGUGUGUGCUCUCUGCAAUCAUAUCACAUUAUUCAUGAUUUAUAAACUAUUUUUAAAAUAAAAUGUUAACAUUUACGACAUAGUCCUACAGACCCUUCACAAACCCUUUACAGAAGGUAAAGGGCUACCAUUAAAUUCUGCAAAAAAAUACACAAAAAGAACUGAAGUUGGCACAAGAUGGAGGGAAAGUUGGAACAUAACUAACAAAAUUACAGUUAACAAAAAUGUACUGUAUAAACUAAUGUAUAGAAUUUAUUAUACAAGAGACAAAAUUCACAAAUUCUACAGCACAACGCCAGAGUCAUGUCUUAAGUUUAAACUAAUAAUGACUCAACAAUCCAUGCUAUCUGGUAAAGCUAGAAAGUCUGGAGGUUGUGGGCGGAGAUAGAAAGUUGGUUGUCAGAAGUAUUUCAAUGUAAACUUACUUUUAAUCCAUCUGUCUACAUAUUUCAAGCAUGGCAUAUGGGGGUGUAGUGAGAUACUCAAUGGGCUGGCGAUUCUCUUUUCAUCACUUAUCUUGAAAAAAUGUAUACUAAAAACUUGGAAAUCAAUCUGUCAUCAUUAACACAGUGGAAAAAUCUAUGAUUUACAGUGCCUUGCAAAAGUAUUCAUCCCCUUGGCGUUUUUUCUAUUUUGAUGCAUUACAACCUGUAAUUUAAAUCGAUUUUUAUUUGGAUUUCAUGUAAUGGACAUACACAAAAUAGUCCAAAUUGGUGAAGUGAAAUGAAAAAAAAAUACUUGUUUCAAAAAAUAAAAAUAAAAAACUAACUGAAAAGUGGUGCGUGCAUAUGUAUUCACCCCCUUUGCUAUGAAGCCCCUAAAUAAGAUCUAGUGCAACCAAUUACCUUCAGAAGUCACAUAAUUAGUUAAAUAAAGUCCAUCUGUGUGCAAUCUAAGUGCCACAUGAUCUGUCAUAUGAUCUCAGUAUAUACACUGCUCAAAAAAAUAAAGGGAACACUUAAACAAUACAAUGUAACUCCAAGUCAAUCACACUUCUGUGAAAUCAAACUGUCCACUUAGGAAGCAACACUGAUUGACAAUACAUUUCACAUGCUGUUGUGCAAAUGGAAUAGACAACGGGUGGAAAUUAUAGGCAAUUAGCAAGACACCCCCAAUAAAGGAGUGGUUCUGCAGGUGGGGACCACAGACCACUUCUCAGUUCCUAUGCUUCCUGGCUGAUGUUUUGGUCACUUUUGAAUGCUGGCGGUGCUUUCACUCUAGUGGUAGCAUGAGACGGAGUCUACAACCCACACAAGUGGCUCAGGUAGUGCAGCUCAUCCAGGAUGGCACAUCAAUGCGAG